rnacentral:rRNA from 1 species
UGCAGUCGAACGAGAAAGCAUCCUUCGGGGUGUGAGUACAGUGGCGCACGGGUGAGUAACACGUGGGUUACCUGCCCUCCGGUGGGGAAUAACUCUGCGAAAGUGGAGCUAAUACCGCAUACGACCUUUGGGUGAAAGUCCUAGGACGCCGGAGGAGGGGCCCGCGGCCGAUUAGCUUGUUGGUGGGGUAAUGGCUCACCAAGGCUGCAAUCGGUAGCCGGCCUGAGAGGGCACACGGCCACACUGGCACUGAGACACGGGCCAGACUCCUACGGGAGGCAGCAGUGGGGAAUCUUGCACAAUGGGGGAAACCCUGAUGCAGCGACGCCGCGUGAGCGAUGAAGUCCUUCGGGGCGUAAAGCUCUUUCAGUGGGAACGAUAAUGACGGUACCCACAGAAGAAGCUGCGGCUAACUACGUGCCAGCAGCCGCGGUAAUACGUAGGCAGCAAGCGUUGUUCGGAGUUACUGGGCGUAAAGAGUGCGUAGGCGGUUCCGUAAGUUCGGUGUGAAAUCUCCCGGCUCAACUGGGAGGGUGCGUCGGAAACUGCGGAGCUUGAGCACGGGAGAGGAAAGCGGAAUUCCUGGUGUAGCGGUGAAAUGCGUAGAUAUCANGAGGAACACCGGUGGUGUAGACNGCUUUCUGGACCGUUGCCGACGCUGANGCACGAAAGCGUGGGGAGCAAACAGGANUAGAUACCCUGGUAGUCCACGCCCUAAACGAUGCAUACUUGGUGUGGGCACUUCAGUGUGUCCGUGCCNGANCUAACGCGUUAAGUAUGCCGCCUGGGGAGUA